rnacentral:rRNA from 1 species
AUACGGAGGGUGCAAGCGUUAAUGGGAAUUACUGGGCGUAAAGAGUACGUAGGUGGUUCGUUAAGUCAGAUGUGAAAGCCCAGGGCUCAACCUUGGAACUGCAUUUGAAACUGGCGAACUAGAGUAUGGUAGAGGGGGGUAGAAUUCAUAGUGUAGCGGUGAAAUGCGUAGAUAUUAUGAGGAAUACCAGUGGCGAAGGCGGCCCGCUGGACCAAUACUGACACUGAGGUACGAAAGCGUGGGUAGCGAACAGGAUUAGAUACCCUAGUAGUCC